UGUGCACUUUUCUCUUAGUAAGACGCCGUGAUCCAUUAGAAAUUGGUAUGCGCCAGCAUACAUUGGGUCAUCAAUAGGCCGACAUGAAGUUUCUCGGAACAAAUGGCACGAUCCUUUACGGUUGUGUGUAUUGUCUGGGAAGCGUGUAUGACUGUCUGAUGGAUUUUAAAGACCAUAUCACUGAUGAUGGGAGCUGAUACGUGUCCGAUCGACGGCGGUUAAAUUUGGGAUACCUUUUGGACCCGUCUUGAAACACGGACCAAGGAGUCUAUCUAGUAUGCGAGUAAAUGGAUAAUAUGAAAUCUAUUUGCAUAAAAAACUUGACUGUUCAGUGUCCCUUCUCCAUCCCGGAGUAUUUUCAUCAACAUGUGCAAAAGUACAUGGAAAAUAUAUCAUGAGCACACUGGAUACGACCCGAAAGAUGGUGAACUAUGCCUGAUCAGGUCGAAGUCAGGGGAAACCCUGAUGGAGGACCGAAGCAGUUCUGACGUGCAAAUCG
rnacentral:rRNA from 1 species